rnacentral:rRNA from 1 species
GACGAACGCUGGCGGCGUGCUUAACACAUGCAAGUCGAACGGAAAGGCCCUGCUUUUGUGGGGUGCUCGAGUGGCGAACGGGUGAGUAACACGUGAGUAACCUGCCCUUGACUUUGGGAUAACUUCAGGAAACUGGGGCUAAUACCGGAUAGGAGCUCCUGCUGCAUGGUGGGGGUUGGAAAGUUUCGGCGGUUGGGGAUGGACUCGCGGCUUAUCAGCUUGUUGGUGGGGUAGUGGCUUACCAAGGAUUUGACGGGUAGCCGGCCUGAGAGGGUGACCGGCCACAUUGGGACUGAGAUACGGCCCAGACUACUACGGGAGGCAGCAGUGGGGAAUAUUGCACAAUGGGCGGAAGCCUGAUGCAGCAACGCCGCGUGCGGGAUGACGGCCUUCGGGUUGUAAACCGCUUUCGCCUGUGACGAAGCGUGAGUGACGGUAAUGGGUAAAGAAGCACCGGCUAACUACGUG